rnacentral:rRNA from 1 species
CAGUCGCCGCGGGAAUACGAAGGGUGCAAGCGUUACUCGGAAUUACUGGGCGUAAAGCGUGCGUAGGUGGUGGUUUAAGUCCGUUGUGAAAGCCCUGGGCUCAACCUGGGAAUUGCAGUGGAUACUGGGUCACUAGAGUGUGGUAGAGGAUAGUGGAAUUUCCGGUGUAGCAGUGAAAUGCGUAGAGAUCGGAAGGAACAUCUGUGGCGAAGGCGACUAUCUGGGCCAACACUGACACUGAGGCACGAAAGCGUGGGGAGCAAACAGGAUUAGAUACCCCAGUAGUCCCUGUCUCUUAUAC